rnacentral:misc_RNA from 1 species
GCGGAAGGAUCAUUGUCGAAUCCUGCAAAAAUAGACCGCGAACAUGUUAAACCAUAUUUGGACUGCGGGUCUCGGGGGAGACCCUUUGCCCGCGCCCAACUCUCGCACAGCGUCCGCUUAGGCGCACUAAGUGCGGGCUAACUAACCCCGGCGCGGCAUGCGCCAAGGAAAACUCACAGAAGCGUCGAUCUCCCUUCGCCCCGUUUGCGGUGUGCGGUGGGGGAACUGACGUCUCUCCAAUGUCAUAACGACUCUCGGCAACGGAUAUCUCGGCUCUCGCAUCGAUGAAGAACGUAGCGAAAUGCGAUACUUGGUGUGAAUUGCAGAAUCCCGUGAACCAUCGAGUCUUUGAACGCAAGUUGCGCCCGAAGCCAUUCGGCUGAGGGCACGUCUGCCUGGGCGUCACGCAUCGCGUCGCCUCCCCCACCCACACCCCAUGGGGCGAUUGGGUGCCGGGGGKGGAAAUUGGCCCCCCGUGUGUUUUUAUGCGCGGCCGGCCUAAAUGUGAACCCGUGCCGACUCGCGUCACGACCAGUGGUGGUUGAAAACUCAACUCUCGUGCUGUCGUGUCGUUUUGAGUUGGUUUUCGGGCUUCGUCGCAGACCCAAUGGCGCGAGCCUAUCGUGCCUUCGACCGCAACCCCAGGUCAGGCGGGAUUACCCGCUGAGUUUAA